CGGUGACAAGCGGUGACCAACACACUGGUGCAUGUACACUAGAUAGCGGUAAAUGACCGCUUCAGCCGCCCAGGGCGAAUCGCUUAUGGGUGUGCGGAUAGUAUAUGGUAGUAUAUGGUGCUUCAAUAAUUCAGCAGAGCAAGUUUGUAUGAAGGUCUGGUUAUUAAUAAAUGACUACAUAGUUAAAUAGUAAUAUCCUCUAAAACGCUCUGGUGACAAACAAACCUUUUCCAAUUGUCCACAUGGCUGGGAGAACCUAUUCAAGUAGCUAACAGCCAUGGAGGAGGGUGAAAGGAUAGUAGCCCCAGCUGUCAAAGUGAGAGAGGAGGCUAUUCUGGAUAGGGCAGGUACUUUUGUGUUGUUCCUGUCCCUAGAAGUAUGGACGGAGAUAAUAGUAACAUAAUAUUCAGUGUGGUGUAAUUUCAGUAUAAUGAAGUCUGUUUCUUGUGAGGUUUUCUGUCCUCUGAUAAAGAGAGCUAUGAAAGCCAGUCUGCAUAUGAAGAGGUCCCAAUGAAGAACAUUGGUUCUCAGUCCUGGGGACUGAAAGGGGGGCACGUUUUUGCUGAUUCAAAUGAUCAACUCAUCAUCAAGCUUCAAGUGAUACCUUGUAACUAGAGAUUCCUUCAAAACGAUUGCCUACAGUUACCGUGUAGGGCACUGCAAGGUUGGGUGACCAGGGCCAUCUGGGACUGCCUCCUGGAGGAAUUCAGGUAUGUUUUGAUGUGAGAGAGGAUGCCAACCCCCAGUCCCGUCAUCGCCACCUCACCCUCUUUUAAGAACCUUUGAGCCGACUAAAGACACUAUUGUGAUGAACUGAGAGAAUAUUCCGGUUGCACUGUGAUUCAUUAAUCACGUGCUGCCUUCCCUGCUCCUCUGUUCUUACCUCUUUCCCUUUCUGUCUUAUACACCUCUCUCGCCACCUCUUUCUUCCUGUUUUUAUAAUGCACAGAUGUGCAUUGAAGUACAGAUUGAACUUGUAUUUAUAAUGCAUGUAUUUAUAAAUAAAAUAAAAUUGUAUUGGUCACAUGCACCAAAUACAACAGUUGUAGACCUUACAGUGAAAUGCUUACUUACGAGCCCCUAACCGAAAG